rfam:Triticum aestivum genome assembly, contig: Triticum_aestivum_CS42_TGACv1_scaffold_251507_3DL
AUAGCGCACCAUGUUUUGCUCGAUAAAAUUGGAAUGAUUCAGAGAAGAUUUGCUGGCCCCUGCGCAAGGAUGACACGCACAAAUCGAGAAAACCUUGUUAUUACU